rnacentral:rRNA from 1 species
AACGAACGCUGGCGGCAUGCCUAACACAUGCAAGUCGAACGAGACCUUCGGGCCUAGUGGCGCACGGGUGCGUAACGCGUGGGAACCUGCCCUUAGGUUCGGAAUAACUCCCCGAAAGGGGUGCUAAUACCGGAUAAUGUCUUAGGACCAAAGAUUUAUCGCCUUUGGAUGGGCCCGCGUUGGAUUAGGUAGUUGGUAGGGUAAAAGCCUACCAAGGCGACGUUCCAUAGCUGGUCUGAGAGGAUGAUCAGCCACACUGGGACUGAGACACGGCCCAGACUCCUACGGGAGGCAGCAGUGGGGAAUAUUGGACAAUGGGCGAAAGCCUGAUCCAGCAAUGCCGCGUGAGUGAUGAAGGCCUUAGGGUUGUAAAGCUCUUUUACCCGGGAUGAUAAUGACAGUACCGGGAGAAUAAGCUCCGGCUAACUCCGUG